ensembl:lncRNA
UGACUUUUUAAAUCAUUUUAUUUGGCAAAAUAAUCACAAAGUUAUGAAAAGAUGACCCCUGAGAAAAGGAAAUUUUCAUCUCAGGCAGUGCAUUAUUACAGCAAACAUCGACAGCUUUGAGAAAUGGCAGCCAGAAGUAAAAUGGCAAAAGCAACUUGAAUGUAAUGCAGGGAAACAUGUCUGAAAUUCUGACUGUGAACACCCAAUGUCCAACAAAACAAACAGCAAGUAAAAGGUUGUAAACAAAAUGUCACAAGGAUGACGAGUGGUGGAAGACAAGGAGCUGCCAGCAGGUCUGGGGAUGGCUGGGCUGUUCUAGGCAGGUUUUUGUCUGUUUGCUGGUUUCUUUCUUUCUUUCAUUUUUUUACCAUCUUCAGAGAUGUACAUGAGAAGACGCGGGGAAAGUUUCACAGUCGUUUGGGUCGAAAGACAAAAAAAAAAUCAAAUGGGCAUUAAAGUAUCAGGAGAUUUUGGCUGGAAAAACACAAGGCAGCAGUGGAAGGUCAGUCCUGAAGGAGCUGUGAUACGCCUAUAGCAGCAGAUGGAAAAGAAAAAGGGAAGGAAAAGAAUAAAUUCCCAGUAGCCUGGUAGUUGAGAAUGGGCAGCCUGGGGAGUGAGAAGUGCUGCGGGAGCAGUGGGCCCCUGCUCCGAUGUGGGGAAGCAGAACAGCUGGAGACUGCUCAGAGAGGCAAUGGAUGGAGUCUCCUAUAGUGGGGAAAGCUUGAAACAUGGAACCUUUGGCAGCAGAAGGGCUCCUUCUCCCUUACAUCUGAAAUUACAGAACCAGUGCUAACCGUAACAGUCAAGAGGAACAAGCUCCAGGCUCUAAGGAAGAUCUUAGGGCCCCCUGGGCUGAUGGUGCAUUAACACCCUGAGAAAGGGCACGUUGGACACCCAUCUGCAGUUACGCAGGCAAUACCUGCUUGUGGGAUACGCUGUCACCAGAGGUUGGCUGCUAACAGACCCUGAUCCAGAAUGUUUCAGGGAGAGCACUAAGGCUUGUCCAGGCCUUGAACCCACCCUGCCCUCAUCCACAAACAGCAACGCUGGCUCAGGAGCCCAACAAAUUGAGAACAUUCAGGGGGCGGGGGUGAAGGACAAGGGACCUCAGGUCAUCUUCCUGACCUUACAGGUACAGAGGAAGGGUUGGGUAGAAGCAGAUUUAUCCUGCAUGCUAACUGCUAUGUGCUGCGUGUAUCAGAUCAGGAGUUUGUGCCUUCAAAUAAACCACCACGGCCAUUUUCCUCACUGAGGUUCUUCAAGACAAGGACAAAACCCCUCUAUCUCUCUUGGGUAAACUAAAUAUAGUGAGUCCUUGUGGCCACCCACUAUAACACAGUUUUAACUACACCUUCAAUCUCUUUACACGUCUCUUCUGAACACUUUUUCAUACUCCAGAGGGCUUCUUGAAGUAUAGCUAUCUGAAAUGGAACCUGUGUUACAUUAAAACGUAGUCAUUUCCCAAGAAUGGCAUCCUUCUUGGGCCCUGUUUUCAUUCCUUUAUUACCACAAUCCUAAAGGCCAUUUGCACCUGUACAAAUUUGUCCUUGUUUAUUUCUCACUAUAUGAUCCUUGCAUGUUUCUCCGCUAAAAAUUAUCAAAAUUAUCGGAACCCAAUGUAUAAAUCAACUAUAUAAAGAGUCCAAAUUGGCUGGUAAAAUGUAACCCUACCCAAUAUUCAUCACUGCACUAAUUCUAUCAUCUUACGUGUCCUUCCACGUAUUUCCAGCUGCAUCCAAGGACUCGGAUUACUCUGUAACCUCAGUGCCAGCACAGCCCUGCUGCUGAUCUGUAAGCAGCAGGGUGUAAGCAAGUGUGUGAACCAGCCAAGAAAUAGAUACCACCCACCUGUGCACUGCAGCCCCAUGAG